rfam:Candidatus Thrbacteria bacterium RIFCSPLOWO2_02_FTLL_49_11 rifcsplowo2_02_scaffold_13257, whole genome shotgun sequence.
GCCCUCGUAGUGAAAUGGAUAUCACACGACGCUUCGGACGUCGGUUUCCAGGUUCGAAUCCUGGCGAGGGCA